GUAUUUUUUUGUUUUGUGUUGAUUUUUCGAAUGCCGUCGGCGUUAAUUUUAUUUUAAAAUUUUCCUUUUUUUUACCACGUAAGCACCAAAUCCCGAAAAUUCGCUGUGGGAUAUAUUUUUUAUGAUUAUUUUUUUUUAUUUAUUUUGUUUUUCGACUUUUGAAUUAUUUUCUUGUUUUUUCCAGCUGGUUGAAUAUUUUUCGGGGAAUUAUUUUCAAUUCAUUUGCUGCCAGACACUUUGUUGCAAAUCUCCUUAAACUUUUUUGCCUUCCACUUUUCUUGACACUUUUUUCUUGUUUUUCUUUUUAUCAAAUGUAAGUUAUUUUGAUUUUAAUUUUUUUGCUUUUAUCCAUGUUUUUUUUUCUGCUUGCUUUUAUGACCGACCUGACAAUACUUUUGGCGGAUAAGGCGUCACACGCCGACGACGCUUAAGUUUUCAUUGUGUCUUCUAUUUGAUUAUAAACUUACAAUCAAUCAAUCACAUGGGUGGCAAAAUCAUAACGGCAAAUGUGACAAAUGCAGCAUAACUCAUUUAGAUGGGUGAGAGGACCUGCCUAUGUGUUGUAAAUGCGGCUGUAGUGAAUUGAUGCUAUGCUUCUUCUUGUUAUAGAUGCUUUUGUUUGGGUUCAUUUAUGCAAGCUGCUGCUUCUUCUUUAACACAUCAAAUGUUAUCAUCAUCCGCAUGAUUAUUUGUUAUUGUUUUUUUUUUGUUUUUGUUAAAAAGAAGAAGAUUAAAAAAAACCUUAAUACAAAUAUAAAUAACAGUAGACUUUAUCUCUGUCGCUGCUGAUUUUGCCUAACGUAUUUUUAUAUGACAAGAGUACUGUUGAAAAUGCUUGAGCGUGAGAGAGAGCGAGCGCGCGGUGGAGCCAUUUGGGGUUACAGAGUAAAUAAACACUUCAAUGUGCUGAAUAUUCCCAAAUGCUUUACAGCCCCUAAAGAGACCCUAGAAAAAAAGAGAGUAUUUUUUCAUUAUAACUUCACCCCCUCAAAUGAAGAAUAAUAGCCGCUUUUCUUCUGCUGUCAACAUUUGCUCUGUACAUUGUUUAAUCAACAUGAAAUAUGGAAACACAUGUUAUGUAGUUAAUAGCUUUAUUGACACCAUUGUUGUUUGUGUUGUGUUGUUUUUGUUAUGGAUUGGCGCGUAUUUUCCUCUCUCUUCUCUGGCAACUCACCUCACACACACAAACACUCUGUGACCUAUGAAAGAGUUGUUUUGGCACCGAACUUAAACUAAAUUAACCGUAAAUAAGGGUUAUGACAAUGGCUGUGCAUAAGAAUUUUGGGAUUUUGUUUUGUUAUUAUUGCUUCUUAUGGAAAGAUGUAGACGAAAUGCGAGACACUUUAACAACAACAAGAAGAAUAAAAUAAAUAAAAUAACAAACACAUACACCAAAACGUAUAGCAUAGUCUUCGUCGUCGUCAGUCGGCAAAGCUUUGAGAAAAAAAACACAAAAAAACUAAGAAAGCAGCAACAACAACACCACACGAAUGAAUCUAACGAAUUUAAAAUACUUUUUUUAUCAGGCAAAACAUACACGCACUCACAAACAUACAUGCAUACACAAAUAUACUAUAUAUGCUGACGAACACAGCAGUCGCCAAAAAAACAAAAUCUAAUAACAUUCACGUUUACUCAACAACACAACAACAUUUGGGGAUGUGGGAUGUCUGGCAAAAUUUUUGUUUCUUUAGUCUCAACGACACUUAACGCCGCGCGACUCAUUACUUCCUACUCUUCUGUCCUCUUUUGCACACGAAAAUGGGGGGCUGCUGCUGCCGUUGCCGCUGCCGCCGCCGCUACUGGAUAGAACAAACGAAGCAACGAAGACGACGGGUGGCGUUCACAUAACACAACGAAUGAGAGAACAGAAGAAUGGUGGGUCUUUUGCUCGGUCGGUCAGAAGGGCCAUUGGGAGGCAACUCGCAAAAUAAAUACAACACUACGAUGUAAAACCCCGCGCGCCCUGCAAAAAAUCGCAAACACAUGUAUCCGUAUCCGUAUCUAUCUGUGUAGCCGCGGCGAAUGAAAACAUGAGAAU
rnacentral:sRNA from 1 species